GUGAAAUUACUAUAUGGGCUCGUGGCUUGGAUACCUAUCUACGUCACGGCCCAUUCGCCCCUCUCUCUAUUCUUUCCUUCAUGCCAGGUGUGCGAGCGGCCGCGCGCGAGUUCGAUCCCUGGGAUCGACACUCGUGUGUCUCAUGGCGGUUUUCCCCUUGUUACCACCAGGAUAGGUCCCAGUCUAGAUAUAGGGUAUGCACGC
rnacentral:lncRNA from 1 species